AGGUGCGGCGGUGUGGGCCCGGGAGAAUUUAUCCGUGGGACUCCUGUGUUGGAGCCGCAGCAGUCUUUGUCUCAUCUGAAGAGUCUGAUGGUGAGUAUGUAAAUACAUCAAGGUGACUUAUGUAAUUCAAGAACAGCUGAUUCACACGGCUGAACAAAGAGGGGAGUCACACGAGGUCAACAGGAACAUUAAAGCUCCUGUGACAGUUGUUUAGGUAGUCAUGAAAUCAACUCAAAUUAGGAAUGGGGCCUCUUUAUGACCCUUAAAAGCAAACAGGACCAUCAGUGGUAAUAUUUUCACCUUGUAAAUGGUUAUUUUUUAUGUCUAUUACAAUGCUUUUGUGUUGGUGUAAGAAGAAGGCGUUUUCUAAUUUCCACGAGUGAUGUGAUCGACUGCAAAAAGAAAGCAGGAUGAGAUAUCUCUUUGGAAAACAGCUCUUACCGUAUUUUUCGCACUAUAAGGUGCUCUUAAAAUCCUUUUGGCUUGUCGGAGCACUGCAGCUACCGUAGCCUCGCAGAGUUAUUGAAUGAGUUAAAUAAAGUUUGACUUAUCUGACUUUUGUUUGGCGUAAUGCGCUUUAUAAUCUGGUGCGCUUUAUGUAUGAAAAUAGACGCGAAUAGACACGUUCAUCGACGGUGCGCCUUAUGGACAGUACUUUAGGGGAAAUUGGCAAUUGCGUGUGAAGCACUUUGUCCACAGAGGGCGCCAAAAUCAAUACUAAGACUGUCACAAUCUCAGAAUUUCAAGAAAUAGUAUGUGGCCCUCAGUGUAAAUCACCACUUCUACAAUCUCACAGUAUCAAUAUUUAUUUCAUUUAAUGAAAGAUUUAAAAAAAAUAGUUUUCAAUUCACACAAAUUGAGACAUCUCUUAUUGAUACAAGAGUAUGAACUGGUACUUUUUGUCUUUAUACACCUUGUUGCAUGAUAAUAAUCAAUAACUGACUGAAAAUGGUCAAUAAUGAACACCAAUGCUUUUUUUUGGGCUAAGGAUGUUAAUCAUAAAUGACAAUGUCCAAAACCUCAAAAAAAGAAAACUUUUGGGUGUGUCACUUCAAAAAAACUUGAAAAAUAUGUUGAAGUAAAUAUCCACAAACCAAUUCAGCAGGCCUACAAAGCCACAAAAAGUCCCGACACUGAAAUAAACACAUUUAAUAAUUAUUCAAUUAAGAUAAGAGGGGUCUAAAGAAUUUGUGCUCACGGUGUAAAAAGUCCUUGUCCUUCCAGUCCUUGACUAUUGUCAGUGCAGAGAUGUUGGUGAAACAGUUACUACUGUUUUAAUAUUUGCAGUAUGCGCACUUCUUAUUUUGACCACUCAUGUCACCUUGACCUCAUCUCAUCUCAGCCCGUGCACUUUUUAUGUGACAUGUCUUGCAUGCCGUCUUUUUCUGUCCUCCUUACCUGCAAUUUCUUUACAAGAAUCAAAAACCCAAACAUGCUUAUUUUGUGUGUACGUCUGUGUGUGUAUAUCUACAACUGUUCAAUGAUAAAAGAAAAGAAAACAUACUUUCCAGAACUGAUGCAACAGUCUUGCAACUCCAGUAUUAGCAUAACGCAGUGCUGCGCAGGGAUCUGCAUUAUAUUCAGCAGGACAAAGUUCAACCUCAUGUAUUAAAUGGACAAAAGAACAAUUUAAAUCAGUCUCAUCUUUUAUCAAAGUUUACCCACCAAUCAACAGAUUUAUUCAAGUAUCGCUAACAAUCCUUAAAGGUUUACACUUGAAUAUGUUCCCCUUAUGUCUUUUGUUUCUCAUCUCGCUGCAUCAAAACGAUCAAUCUUAAAUCUGACUUUUGCGACAGAAGCAGAUCUCUCCUGAAAACAUUCUCUAUGUAUGCCGUUAAAACUUCAAUCAAGUUAUCUUUUCUCUCACCACAGUCAAAGUUUAAAGGGUUUUAUUUUCCUUUAGACUACGGCUUUUAAUUUUCUUGAGGGUACAUUCCCAAAAUGAUCUAAUCCAAAGUUUAGACACCUUUCCUUGUGUUUUGUUUAAAAUGAACAUAUUUGACAUUUCAUUUUUCCCCUAAUAUUGAUUAACAUUUUCACAAGCUCCCCUUUCCAUUUCAGUUUCGCUGUCCCAGCCCCAGAUUAUUUUAAGAAAGGAGCUGCGUAUCCGACCUGACUCUGGUCCUAGAAAACCAGAGGAGUUGUCCUAAUUAGCCUGUAAUGGCAGGUGGCAUCUUCAGCUCUCUAAUGUGUUGCCCGAGUAUCAGACCUGAAAACUUAAUGAAUGAGUUACUAGAGUAUAAAAACUACAGUGUAAUAACCUCAGUGUAAAAAUGUAACAUUGCAUGAUAAAAAUACUCAAAAUCUCAAGUACUUAAAGCACAUUGAAGAACACCAGAGUAGACCAGAAUUACCCAGAAUAUAGAAUAAGUAUCACUUGUGUUUUUGUAUUUAGUGAAAGGCUGUUGGAAAUCCACCAUCUGGAAGACAAAGAGGAAGAAAGUGGUCGUUGUGCACAAAAUAAUUUGUACUAAAAGACAUUUUUGACGGUUAAAACUGAUAAAAGGAGAGUGACACUUCUCAUGCAUCUCAGGAAUUUUUCAAUCUAAAAGCUGAACUCCGGAUCCGGCUAAGUAUUCCAACUUCUACACUCUGCACCUUCAAUACAGAAAAACAGCCUUUGUGAGUUUGUCUUUUGACUAUUUUUGGGUCACUGAUAAGUUUGGCAAGUUUAUUUACUCAGCAGAGUUCGAACAAUCAAACAAAAAUCCCUGAAAAUAGUUGGAGAGUUUUGCCAAAAUACAAGAAAAACAAAAACCACAAAAGUAAAUCAGAUGUGUUUUCGCCUUAAGACGGGUCAGCGGUUCAUGGAAAACUGGAAAUUAUGAAAUUUUUAAAAACAAGAAAGCCGGAUUGUUUUUCUCUACCGUUUUUGUAUAUCAUGUUUUGAUAAAUACCAUGUUUUUAUAUCUUACUUUGGUUUGACUUAAUGUGUCUGAUGAAUUAAUACUCAUUGGCUUGAUACACUUUCGUGUGUUGCUGCAUUUUUUGUUGUAAAUUUUUAAGGUGGAACUGAUUUGAAUUGUUUAUUUGCAACGGAUUGUCAUAUUUUAUAAAGUUAAUGUGGGAAGAAAAAGCUAACUGUACCUCUCUGAAAUAUCUGGCUGUUGUGGCAGCAAAUACAAGAGCCGUUUCAGUAACAGAAAUUGCAAUAAAGAACAGAACAGUCUUGGAGUGAAUGAAUUUAGUUUCUUACCACUGCAAGGAAAAAAGGCUGCAGAGGUUUUACUCUUGGUGCUCGAUCUCUAAAGUGAUCUUUGUGCCAGUAAACCACAAAGUCAGUUUUUAUCAUAAUUUGAGGUCAAACAAGCUCAUGACCUCCUGCAUAUCAUCCUCUCUCACACAUUUCUGUUCCUUAAUGUAUCUUUUCUUUUCUUCUCGUUUUUCUGUAAGGUAUGUUUAAUUGCACGUGCGAACACACUGUCUGCAUACGAGGAAAAAAAACAAGAAACUCCAGCCUUCUAUUUGUGUUGAUUGUGUCUAAUUAGAGAUAGUAGUUUUCAUUCUCAGACUCUGCUGGAUGUUUUGGGCAUGCUGCGUAUGAACCCAUAUAAUAGAUUACAGUGCACACAGAGAGCCUGUGAUAGCAUUUGUUUUAUUGACAGUGGAUUGAGGCUUUCAGCGCGGGCUGUCUCAGUGAUUCAUUGUGUGAAGCAGGGAGAAGAGCAGCGUCCAGUCCUGCUUACAUGAAACCCCUGGAGGUGAAUUUCCUGAUUAAAGCCCCCCCCCUCGCCCCCACCCGCUUCUCAAUCCCCCACCCUCCCCACCCCCACCCCAUCCCCCCUCUCCUGCCCGCUCGAAAACCCCCUCUAGUUGUGUGAGCGGAUGUGCGUGUGCGCUUGAGCUUGCAUGCGUGUUUUUGCAGAAGCGUGCAGGGUUUUGUGUGUCUGCUGCUUUUUUUGUGUUGUGUGUGCACAGGUGAAUGAAUGUGUAUGUGCGCAAUUUGUGUAUAUAUGGGUGCAUUUGUUCUGUUCCUGUGUGCACAUGUUGUAGAUGUGCAACAUGCAUGCAUUCAUUAAUGUUUAUGCAGAUAUGAAUAAGAGCAUUUUUGGAAGAAUCUAAACAUUUUCUUGAUUUUAAAGGUUUAGAUUUUGCAAUUUUGUCACAUUUUUAUGAAUUUUCCGACCCAUGUAGUUUAUUGUUCUGUUUGCAUGACUAAAAAAAGUCUUGAUGCAGAUUUUGCAUGCUUAAUUGCUUAUCCUCUGUGCAGAUUAAUUUGCACAAACACACAUAUUAUUCCUGCAUGUAUUAAAGGUGCACCGAGUGUAUGCAUCACUCUUACAUAUGUGUAUUUUUGUGUGUUGUAGAGGUUACGUCGAGAUGGAGGGGCACCAUGUGGAAACCAUUGUGAUCCUGAGCGUCAGUGAACAUAGAAGGUGAGGCCAGAUGGUAGUGGUUAGCCCUUGGCUGCUCCGGGUAACCUGACCUGCAGGGGAGGACCCCUCUGCCUCCUGAGGACCAGCCGCCACAUGUGUUGCGUGAGAGUAAGUCACCCAAAACCCAAAGAAACCGCCUCUCGGCUUCCUGGCUGCCUGCCCUCAGAGCCGGGGCUGUUUUUCUAACCGAGGAUCUAAAACAACAAACUAGAAGCAGGAUCAGACAGGAACAGUUCAGAGACAGGAUCAUGGAGGAUCCUGAGGUCUAUGAAGGUGUUAUUAACUCUCUGAUUCCUGUGUUUAUCCUGCAGCAGCACUCUGUACCGCACUCGGUAUUAAAGAAUAUCCUUGUUAGAUUUGCAGCAGGAGAGCCUUUCCUUCUCCAAACAUAAAACUAUAAAGUCCAAUUCUGUUCAAGUGCUUUUAUCUUACACUUAAUAAAUCUAUAACAUAAAAAAACACUGACAUUUACAUUUCUCCUUAAGCUUUCUGAUGUAAGCAAUAUGUUAACCUUCAAAUCUGUUUCCUGCAGUAGAUAAGGGAACCAGCUGUAAAACAUAAACCACCCAAAAUUGGUGUUCUAUGACAAAAUACGCAGCUAAAGGGUUGUUUAAAAGUAAAUGUAUUUGAAAUUAUAGGCUUGUAUAAUUCAUGAACGUGAUCUUUUAUAACUGGAAGAAGCACUGUUUCUUUAAUACACCAAACCUCUUCAUUUUGCGGUAGAUUUAACAAAUACAGCACUUUAAAAAAUGACACAUGGAAACAGAGCGAAGUAACCGCGCAGUUUUAUACUAUCACCUUAAAGGACGGGAAGUUAUAAUCUAUUUAAAUACAACAAACCAGAGUAAUUACAGGGGUUGCCUGUAGGCUGAAUUACAAAUGUGCUACUUUUAUGCGAUAAGACGCUCCAACUGUAUAUUCAAAUACUAUUUUAUGCAUGUAUUAAAAGAGCAGUGUAAACAAAAGCCUGUGCAGGAGAGGCUGGAAACUUCAGAGAUAAACAGGAGAAAAGUAGGAAUCUGUUAUACUCCUAUAGUGUAUGUAAUAAUCAAAGAUAUGGAGCACCAGUUAAUGUCAGGUGCUUUCAGGUACAGAGGUUAAGAUCGUCACUGCAGGUGGCUCAGGUUCAUACAUCAGUCCUGUGGCCCCUUUUUCUCCAUGUCCUUCACUCCUCUCUCUCCUCUCAGUUUCCUUAUACUGUACGCUGCCCCAGUCUUUGAAAACAUGCUUGAAAAAAAGCCCCAAAAAUAUCUUUAAAAAGUAAAAUAACCAAUUUGGAGCUUUAACGUGUAUUUUCCUACACUUAGAUUUGGCACAAAAUUCUCCUCCAGGUAUUUUCUCAAACACACAUUUUCAGCUGUGGAUGAUUUUUAACCAAAAAUUUCAACAUUUCCUGUUAUAACACUAAAACAACAUGUUAUUGCUCUACCUAAUGGUUGAAAAGAGUUCAACAUUUUUUAGAUUUGCUUUCUGGAAAGGCAGCGCAUCUCUCUACUCCUGUGUUUAUAUCCGUGCAUAUCAAAUAGACAUUGAACCUCCAGCCUUUAGCUGAUAUACACUGAGCAGCCAUGACAUUAUGAACGUGAACCAGAUAAUCUAAUGCCGCCCAAUACUAUGGUUCUACCUUCAACACUUUUCUGAAGCCUCUUCAAAGUCAGUUGUUGUUGACAUGAUCAGACGGGUGAUUAUUGAUCUUUGAAUUAGUUGUUGAAGUUGUAGUGAGUGUUGGUGUCGUACUGGAGAGCUAUAAACCCACUGCAUCGGUUUAACCUUUAAUUAGAGGUAACAACGCUUACAUGUGACGUUCCUGUCAAAUAAACUGAUAGAUAAAUAAACAAAUAUAUUGAAAGCUGUUCCUAAUAUUUUGCUCCUCUCAUAGGGACAAAAUAUUAGGAACAGCCUUCAAUACAACACAUGCCAGUAUGCUUCCACAAACCAUAACGUCUUCAAUAAUAAAAUACAAUAACCAAGUGUCUGAUCAUGUCGACCAAAACUAAAAAUAUAGAAACCUUAAGAAGGUAGAAUUUGUGGUAGAGCUGUUGUAUUGUAUUCCAUUUGAUUGAUUAGGUGUUCCUAAUAUUAUGACGAUAAAUGGAAAAACAGAUAAAAACAGUUUCUAUGUGCAGCAUGCGGAUUGAUUAAAAUUCCCAUUGCAGCUUUGAAACUAUAUGUAUAAAAAAAGAUAAUCUACUUCUUUAAUUAAGCCACAAUUAGUAGAAAUAAAAAUCAGUGGAAAGCUGCAGCUCUAACUUUACUUUAAAACUUUGCUAUUCCUGAAUAUACGAUAAAAUCUUUGAUGAAAUGUUUCCGAUGUCUGUGUUUGCCUUUUUCGAUCCAUAUAUCGAUUUUUUUUAACUCUGUGUAUCAUAUUUCACACAACUGCAAAGUCAAUAUAAACCAAAAUAAACAAAGAAAGGUCACAUCAAUUUAAAGCAGGAAAACACCAGAGGCAGGAUUGGAAACAGACAAAGACAAAAACAACUCUACCUUAAGAUAUACCAACGAAUACUAAGGGUUAAAACAGACUAAUACAUGUAAUAAGACAGAUAAAUUAUUUCCAAUUAAAAGCCAGAUCAUAAAUGUUAGUUUUGAGCUUUCUUCUAUUUGUCUCUCUUCUCUGUAGAGGCAUAAAAAAUGUAGGAUCAUGCAGGCUAUCCAAACACUCAUAAUAAGCUGUGAUGCUCAUAAUGAAGACUAAUGUUGCUUUCUUUGUUUAAACCGCCGCUUCAGCUGUACCAGCCUCGGUCUCUAGAUGGCACUAAGUCAUAGCUGUAAAUAAGUGAGGUCUGUGAGAGCAAAAUUAAAAUUUGAGUGAUACGUUUUUGAUUUAAUUAAACACCCCUCAAGCCAGAAACUCUCCGCUCAGGGUCGACGUGAGAGAUGGAGAAUUUCUCUUCAAAUAGGCAACAUCAGGUCCAGUGUCUCUCAAGAUCAAGGCGGCUCGAGAUGAUACUCAACAUCUGCUCAGAGAGAGGUGAGCCACUGUUUGAAAAAAAGUCCACGUCAAUGAAUAAAUGAUGGGCUGAUGAGGACCUGCUCCACAUAUUCAUCCGAUGCGCACAAAUCGCUGCAAUCACUUAAAUGAGGGGGAAAAACUGCAGGUAAAAGUGAAAAAGUGAGAAGUUUGGAGUCAUCCUGUUGCUGAAAUCUGACUGCAUGCACAAACAGGCAGUAAGAUGUCUUUGUGGUGUUAUGAUUUGUGAUUACACUGGAGUUAUGUAGGAACAUGUUCUACCAGCCUGACAGAGCGUCACAGUGACAGAAACAACAGACUGACAGCGAUGUCUGGCUGCGCGUCUACUUUUUUCCCCUCACACCCGCAUUAUUUAUACAUAUUACUGUUUCCUGUCAAAUCUGGUGUGCGCAGGAAAGUUUUACUGUUGUCUCAUUUGAAAUAACUUACUGUGUGUUCAAGGAAACUUCAUCAUUUCUUCAUGAUGCAGAAACUUAUCCUCAGAGAACAAAAAAUGCAGCAACCUGGCGUUAAUUUUGAUACAUGCAUGAACUCGGUUUUAACAUGUUUAAGGCUCUGAAAGUUGCACCAUUUGUAAGCUAUCCUGUUGGCUUUAGACGGCACAUAUCUCGUCGUUGAGUUGCAACAGUUAAUCCUGAUUGAUAGCAUUUAAAAACUCCAUUAUUCUGCAUUUCAAAACAUUACCAAGUCCACAUUAACACGGUAAAGCAAUUCUAACCAGUGUUCUAGGGAUCAGAUUCAUGCAGUCAGGGCUAUAUUGAACUUCUAUUGUUUGUUUUUAAUUAGCAUUUUUCUGAAAUUACAUGGAAUUACAGAGACAAUAAAACUAUGUGGGAAAAAGAAAAUCACACUGAUGUGGAAUCUUAUGAAUUAUAUAAUAUACAGAUACAUUAUUAUAUAGUGGAGAAGAUACAGUAUAAUUGGUGUAUGAACUGCAACCAAUUAGCCCAAACUCAUGGGGCUGAGUACAGCUGUGUGCACAGAUAUAUGGACUUAUGUGUCCAUGUACAACCACGAAUAACAGAUAAACACUAAAAAGUCACAUUGACACAGAUAAUAAACGGUAACUUUUGAUUGACUAAUAGAUUUACUGACUCAUCCUUGCAGUUUUAAUAUUAUUUACCCUUCAAAUUAUGCCAUCAGCCCUCCCACAUACACACACAUACACGCUGCACCGGCGCACGAGUUGUCAUGCAAGGUGACGACCCUGCAGUGAGGAGUAAUUUAGGGCUCAGUGUCUCCCCCAAGGACUCUUUGUGCUCAUGACAGCGAGGUGAUCAAACCAGCAAACAUGCACUAGAAUGAGCUCACAGCCACAACAAGAGUAUUCAAUAUCUUUUCAAAUGCUGAGUAACAUUUAAAGACUAUUGGACUCAAUGAGGAACCUAAAAGAGUAACUUUUUUGCUCUCAAGAGACUUUUGAUACUGAAUUUUUUUUUAUCUUUUACGCUCAAAAUGUGUAAAUUCUAUUAGUUUUUAGUUUUGUGACGUUGAAGUUUUACAGCAAACAAAAGCUCUUAGAUUCAGCAACUAGUUGUGCAACUAGUUCAAAGAUUAUUACUAUUACUUUGAAUAACACUAACGUUUUUAUUUUUUUAGUUUAUUUGCCUUUAAAAAACAAAAAUAGCACCUUUUCUUAUAGCUCCUGUACCUGCUAGAAGGUCCUGCUAUAGGGUUACACGUGCCCCUGGUCAGGACUUGGUAUCAGUGCACAAUAAACAGAACAAACACUGCAGAGAGAAUAGUGUUGGUUGUAUAUUAAGUGUGAAGUAAACAUCAGGGAAGGAGGUGAUGGGGAGGAGCAGGCGUGAUGUCUGGGGCCCGGGGCCUCGGGGUAUAGGAGCAACAGUGACACUAGAUCUCUGUGUUUCCCCCUCAGCUCGUAUUUCCUCACAUAUGUUUCUUUGUCACAUGAUUCAGCCGAUCUGUUGCAUUUGCUAAAUCUGUAUUUCUAGAUGUGCAUGUACCGUUGCUGAUCAGCAGAGGAGUUUUUAAAUGUUCAAAAUUCAACUAAGUAUGCCUUUGGCCCGACUCCACUCAUUGAUGACCUUACAACAUGAGAGGCGUUGUAGGCAGACUCCCAUUAAAGGUAACAACCUCGUCAUUAGGCCCUGCACAUGGGGGCGGGGGUGAGGGUGAGGAGAAGCGACCCACCUAAUCACAUCUGUCACCUCUGGGACCAGAAGUGUCCGACAGGUUCUUGUAACUGGUUGUUUUUUUGUCUCGUAACAAAGCAGAUGAGACGUUUGCUUUCCAGGGAGAGACUGAAGAAGUCGUUAGAAGACAGACGUACAGGAUGUGAUCUGUUGGUGCAUAAUGUUUGUCGUUUACGUGGAGUAGCAUCAUGUAUGUCGUAGAGGGAUUCAACUUUUUGAUGAACAUGUCCCCCCUGAGAUGUUUACAUGAACAUGCCAAACACACACACACACACACACCCUGCAUCAUCUUUGCAUAUCUUUAUGCCCACACUUACAUAAUUUGGGUUUCCUGGUCCUUACACAUACUUUUUAAGUUCUUAUGUAAAUAAUUUAAAAAAUGCAUGUAAUACAAUCAGCCUUUUUCUCCAAACCAGUGAUGCUUAUCUGCAAACAGUCUGAAAAUAAGUUAUAUGCAAAUAUUCAAUACACAUUAAAUAUGGGUCUACAGAUUUAUAGAUUUAAAACAGUAGGAACAAUAACAGGAGGACCAACCACAGAAUUGAAAAAGGCCAUGAGACAUACAGUACAUGAGCAGAAACACCACUAUAAACAUGACCAUCAUCACCAAUCCUUUAAAGGAGAAGAGAAGAAGGAAAUGUACAAAACAUGUGCCACAAGUGUUAACAGAGCAGAAAAAAGUUCUCAGGUUUCAAAACAACAUUUUAUUGUCAUGUGAAAAGUCUCUAUCGUAUCAAAAAAAAUGUUGUGAAGAAAUAAAAAACAAAAAUCACAUCUGGAGGUAGCACCACUAUAAAAGUUUUAGUGCCAUAAUGUUGAUUCAUCAGUUAUUUGAAGAUAAAAUAUUUAAGAAUCAAAAUUAAUGGAUUUACAAAACCUGGUGACCAACUUUUUUCUUAUGCUAAAGCUGCUAAACAGUUUCAUAAGGAGCUGCUACUUAUACUUGCCCUUUAUAAUUUGAUCUUUAUAUAAAACACAUAUUCACUCACUGAUCUACAAUGUCAGUGUCAUUAGCUUGACUACAGAUAUAUGGAUUUCUGGUGUUUGUGUGACAGCACAGUGACUUGAUUUAAAGCUCCUGUAAGGAACUUUUUUUUGUUUGUCUCAGUGGGUACUGAUGUAGUCCUGCACAUAAUUGGCAUUUCUUGGAAAAAAAAAAAAAAAAUCUCCCCUACUUUCCUUUUGUCGUGGAUCACACGAAAGGAAAGGCAGCAGAAAUAGUAGGUGUCAGUAGCUGCGUUUACAUUGGCACAAAUAAUCGGAAUAAAAGCCAGAUCGGUAUAAAAAAGCGUCAUGUAAACAUGUUGAUCGGAAGAUUCUGAUCCAAUUUGGCUCAAUCCAAAAGAACUUGUAUUCCGAUCGAGAGGGGUGGUUUAUGCCCAUCGUUAUUCCGAAACGCAUCCAUGUAAACACUUAUUCUGAUCGUGACUCUCUUACCUGACUCGAUCUUCACUCUUUAGCCUUUGGUUUAUUUAUUGAGGCCAGUUCAGGAGGUUUCAUUAUUAACACUCUGGCACAAAACACAACCGCAGAUGCCGUGUCUGCUCCUCUAAUUACAUAACAAGGCGUACAUACAUCGUAAUGAUGUCACAUCUGCACGCACAGUACAACCUUUGACAGAACAGUAAAAUAAGUAGGCAAGGGCGCCAUCUAGUGACAACAUUCAACAGGGAGAAAACCUGAAUUGGAUUAUGUCAGCCACUAGCCAAAGCUUGUUGCCUGUAUACACACGUCACGAUUGGAUUAUUUGACUUCGCGCCCAUAUAAACAGUGGAUUCAGAUUUAGCAAUCCCUCAAAUUUUUAAUUGGAUCAAUAAAUUUUGCACAUGUAAACAUGGCCAGUUAGUCUCCCUCUGUGGUUCCAGAUAUUAAAAGUUACUAAAGAAAAAUAAUGAAUCUUCCUGCUGUAUGCUUUGAAGUUCACCAUGAAACCUCAUCAUUUCACAACCAGUUAAAAACUCCUCAGAGACACUUUAACUAUGAACCACAGUUUGGACGGUAGUUUGCUGAUAGCUGUUGAAUUUAUUGUAGAACGACCAACACUGACUUUAAAAAUCCACCUAUCGUAACUCGGGCUGACAUCAUGGUCACUCACGAGGUAAAGUAUUUAAUUUUUAUCAUUUGUAUGUUAAUUUUGCACCAACGCCAACUCACUGUUAGAGGAGUCAAGUGCUCAUACAGAUUGUAACUGAACAAAAGUGGGGCCUUUCUUUUCUUUAUCAGGUGUGUCUCAUGUUUUAUCAAUAACGUCCUGCAAGACUUUAGGGAGUGACCAAAUAACCUAAUUAAACUCCUAAUAUGCAUACACAAAGUAUACAUUAUAAUGUAGCAGUGCUCCCAUUAUUCUUUAGGCACUUGAGCAGAGAAACUUUUCCCAUUACCCUUGAGUUAGCAUGCAUUAAAAGUCUUAUUUUAGAAACUUUAGACCUCCACAGAGUCAUGGAAAUACAGCAAAAUCAGUAGGUGGGGUCACUCGACUUAAAAAAAACAAUUCUUUAAAGCUUAAAAAACAAGUGUAAAUGGACCUUUAAAAGAGGUUACUUUGCUAGAAUAGCUUUUUAAAACUCGUUGAAUUAGUUUCUCUUGGAUUCAUGCCACUUCUCCUAAAAGUAAUAUAACAACGACCGACGCUGACCACAUUGGUCUGCUUGAUUCUGACUGAUUCUUUCAUUAGUUCUGUUGUAAUGCUGCCGCCGCUGACAUUUUUAACUCGACUUUUGCAAUAUUCAUAUUUAAAUGAUUCAUGCUACAUCUUUUUGUACAAAAUGUAAGAGUUAUUUUCCUGUCAGCUCCAACAUCCAGCAGCCAGCAGGCCCGUCAAAGUCAAUGUGGGUGGAUCCUGCAGGCAGCAGCCAGUCAAAUCCAGGUCAUUCAUGGUAGUGGUGGGGGUGGGAGGGCGUUUAUGUCUGCGUGUGUGUGUAUAUGUGUGUGUGCAAUUCAUAUGUGUGUGUGUGUGUGUGCGUGGGUGGAGUUGGUGGUGGAGGGGGGAGCGUACUAGACUGGACGGACGAUGUGACCGAAUUGAGAGUUUCCAUACAAGCAACAGGAUCUGACCAAGAUAAGCCUCUUGGGAGUCGAGCGGUUCUCUCUCUCAGGGCGGAUUAAGUGCGCGCACACACACACACACACACACACACACAUUUCUCUCUUUCUCUGUCAACUGUACACACAUCUGUCCAUCUGUCCGUCUGUCUCUUUUUCUGUCUCUGUUUUCUCCUUUUGACUCUCCAGGAUGGCGCCUCGCCUCGUACGGGGAAACAUCCAAAAGAUCCAAGUUUGGGGAUUUUCUGGUUCUCCUAAGCCUCAGGUCUUUGUGGAAACAUAGUCUCUUUGGUACCCCCCCUUCCCACCCUCCUACACAUCUGUUUCUCAUUUACAUCUUAGGUCUAAGUUCAGUCGAAGAAGAGGGGGGGGUGAAUGGGUGUUGGAUAGCGAGUAAAAGGGGAUCAGAAACAUCUUAAGUCUUGCACAUGUUUUUCUUUUUCUAUAAAUAAAGACUUUGUUUCCAACAUGUUGGAUCCAACAUUUUCAAAACAUGAACACCCACUCUUAUUGAACAAUAUGAAAAACAUACAUUUGCUGUAAUUGGCUUUAGAAAGUUGACAGCUAUUGGGGGAAAAUGAUUCACAUCUACCGCCUGGUGCUUUCAUUUAACCCUGUUAUUAUUCUAUCAUAAAUCUCAGUGGGGAAAGUGGUCAGGAUUCAGAUUUAACAACUUGAAUCUUUGCUGCUCCUACUUUCAAUUGAAUACAUAUCAAAAUCAUCUGUUCGAGUAGAAAAUCUAAUAAAAAUUUGACUAAUUGUUGACUUCACUGUCUUUUCUGUUGUUCUAGCAGCUGGACUCUUCUACUACAGCGCCAUGCUGUUAGAAUAAAUGCUCAAUGUGUUUUUUUGUUUUUUUUUGUCUUGUGAGAAUAUUUAAGGUUCCCUCCCCCUCAUUCUCUUUGCAUGGUUCAGUUGUGACCUGCAUUGAUAGGUGCAGUUUUGAGCCCAUGCGGUGACUCCCACUGCAGAGUUCUACCUGUUUUUAAUGCAAUGCUUCUUGAAGGCACGAAGUUCACAGCCAUCCAGUUUUGGUUUUCAGUCUGGUCUUGUUUGGACAGAGAUUUCUUCAGAUUCUCUGAAUCUUAUAACGAAAUCAUGAACGGUAGAUGAUGACAUCUCUUUACUGUUUGCAGUUUCAAGGUCCUUACACACCGGGAGCAUUUUUUUCGAUUCACCGGUAUAUCCAACAUGGCCGACUGGCUGAUUGUUUACGUGUCGGAGAACAGAGUGAUUUUUGAUAAAAGACACAAACAUUACAAAGAUAGCGACCUGAAGGACAACUUGUGGAGAGUCAUAGGGUCAGAUUUCUCAUAUGACGAUGGUUUGUGUGCUUUAACAGUUUGCUAAACGUCUUUGUUUUAACUUUCAUCUGUGCUAAAGUAACUUUAGCUCGUAAGCUAACCUGUUCAGAUACAACAUACCAUAUGUGUUUUCACUGUCUCAAACUCAGUCGUGUUGCUGUCACAGCACCAUGAGGUCUCGGUUGUUACCUUGCGUUUAUGGAUUCUAGUUUAAUGUGCUUAUCUGGUACUGGCCCCGACUCAGUACAUGCUAUCAUGACAGACAGACAUCUCAACACUAGAGUCUAAUCAGAACUGAAAAACAGUCAGUCUGCUGUUGGGUCAGUCUUCUCACUUCCACCCUGGACGCGUCUUUUUCCCCCCCGGAAAGUCGCAAAAUCGCAUCGCGCUUGAUGUGUAUACACAGGCGUCAAAUAUUUGCAUCAUUCCCGGUGUGUAAGGACCUUAAGGGCUAAAUUCCACAGGAUUUGGAAUGGCUGCACUGCGCUCCGGAACAGCAGCCUGAUCAAAUAAGCAAGCAUUAUGAUCAAUGUGCAUGAUUCCACACAAUCCGUCGGUCUGGCAGUGGGAUCAGAUAUGCAAGGCUUAUAUUUUCACCAGACGCUGCAGCACAGCGCAUCAAUUCACUGCAGCGCAGCACGAGCGGCAGCAGAAGUUGUAUGUGGCUACAGAGUAAAAUAUCCAGUUAAUUUUCAAAUUAGAUAAAGUCAAUACGUUGAACUGUUUUUCAUGUGACAAUGGGAGGGGCCAGAGUUGUGAGAUGUGGGUGUUUAUAUACACCACCGAUCUCAUUCAAUGUCUCACGGUGAAACACACAAGACCUUGUGAGAUCUCAUCCAGUCUUGCGAGAAAUAUAGGUAUUAUCACAAGCACUUCUCCUCUGCUUGCUGCAGUGGAUCGGAUCCGGUGAGCGCUGUAUGCUUGUGUAUCUGAUCCACCUGUCGCUCCAGACGGGAGCGAGGGGAUCUGCAUGCGGUGGAAUCCCAGGGUUAUCCCGAGAAGCAUUAUUCUGAAGCUGCUAAAGUAUUUGUUCAUGUCAUCCCACAUUUGAGCAAUACAGCCUCUCUAAGAUGCCCUUCUUACACCCUGUCAUGUUACUAACCUGUUUUUAAUUAACCUUAUAAUCUGGGCGAUUUUGUAAGUAUUUCAAAACUUUGUCAAUGUUUUGCUGACCCUGAACCAACUUUUUUGAAAUAAGUUUCUGCCCUCAGAUUUAAAAUGAGCAUAAAUUUUUCUCAAAUGACAUUUUUCAGUUUAAUGUUUGAUGUGUUGUUUGGAAAUCUGAUGAAUGAAACAAAAAGAGGAGCGAGUGAAUCAGUUUGACAGAUGAUAUAUUCAUGCCUUCAGAGAAGCUGUUGUCCGACUUCUGUCACCGUCAUUUUCAGAUAUUUCUGACUCAAACAAAUCAAUGCACUGUGACUUGUGUGACUCUGAUGCAAGCCUUUGAAAUGCACUCUAGCCCUGCAAAUAAGACAAUAGUCAGUUCUGAAUGUCUAUAAGGAAAAGAUUACUGAAACAUGACCGGAUCUUAUAAUCACUGAUUUUUAUAGCGGAUGUCAAAGAAAAUGAUCCAAGACGUUUAUUAUCUCCAGACACAGACUAAAGGAUUGUACAUGUGCGGGUUCAGGUUGAGCUGACAUGGAGGUCGCUGUGGACCACAUGGCAGGAUUUUUACUGCCUUUGUUGCCUUAAAGACCACCAAGCUGGGUGAUGUUAUAAAAAGUUGAAACAGCAGCAGAUUUCUAUAAAAGUAAAAUGUAGCUGCAUGUGUAAUAUAUCUUUGACGCAGUUGGAUUCAUCAGAGUAAUAAUUUAACAUCCUUACAGAGUGAAUACAUAAAUAAGAUGGUUGUGGAUAUUCCUAACACAAGACACGUCUCAUGAAAAUCCCCUUUAAAGAUACUCGUAUUUUUCUAUGGAGGCUGUAAGAGUGUCUCAGAAGAUAUCUCCUCUUUUUUAACACUUGGAGCUCAGGAUGCUGAUGGUGUCUUGGCAAUUCAGAGUCAGUAAUGUGUGAGUUUCAGUGCUGGAGUAAAAGUUUAGACAUUACUUACAAGAAGUUUUGAUCAAAAUAUGAUCAUUGUGAGCGUACGUUGCAUAUAUUCGGAUGUAUGAAUGGAUGAAUCAACUUUAAUUUUGAAGAAUAGUCAAAUUUUUUCUUUGGUGUAUGGAUGUUAUUAUUAAGAAAGGCCAUGAAAAGGCCAAAAUUAAGAGCACCUGUUACACUCAGCUCCAAGGUAAAUAGUAGUUUUGUAAAUGUUGUGACUGGGCCACCCCUGACUCUGUCAAAACCUGGUUGAAUUGGCCACCCCAGUCAAAGAAGUCUGUACACGCCCCUGCUUUAAUACUUUGUGUGUGAAGUAUGAAAUCAAUUUAGUGCGAAAAUCUGAAUUUAAACUGCUUUUAGGUUGUUUAAAGUUUGUCUACUUAAAAAUAUCAUUCCAAUACUUUCAUGAUAAUCUUGAAUACGUACUUAUCUUGAUAUAGUUGAAAAGCUGUGUUAAAAACUGUAUAAAUCAUUACAAUCAUAAUAGUUAGGGAUACACAAUGUUAUUGGUUAUAGAUGAUAUUAAAACCAUCAGUAUCAGCAAAUGUGAAAAUUUAAGUUAAGGUAGUUAUCAGUCAAAUGGAUAUUUAGUUUUGCUCCUUUUUUAUUUCAUUGAAUAAUAUUGUGGUAACUCUUUCUUUUACGGUACACUUAUUACCAGGUAAUUAACAGGUAAUUACCUAGUAACAACAUGAAAUUAUCUGGUAAUUACAUGAUAGCUACUAAGUCAAUACUGUCUAGCUACCAGGUAGAUAACCUUCCAUCUUCAUAUAAAUUUGAAGCUGAAUUGCUCUGGUAUUUCCAGGAUUUUCUCCACUUCCUGGAACCACCACUUGCGCAGUAGCAUUGUACGCAUUCGGCGGGUGAGUCGCUGUGAUAAUGCUCGGCUCAAACAGCGUAUCGCUACGCAAUCUUUGCACGCCCAUAGGCUGUAUCAAGUGUCAAUCAUAGAAAAUAAGAACCCCAAAUAGCUUUUGAAAAUGGAGCUGCACAGAAAAAAGAAAAACUAGACAGUAUUGACCUACCAGAUAAUUUCAUGUUAUUACUAGGUAAUUACCUGUUAAUUACCUGGUAAUAAGUGUACCGUAAAAGAAAGCGUAACCUAUAUUGUCUGUGUUUCUUCACAUUUCUUAGAAUUGACUUCAGGUUUAUUGGUGAUUAAGAUCAUUGUCAAUUGUGAUGUCUUUAGAGAGUUUGUAGCGCUGCUCUGCAUGUCCUGUCGUGCACUAACACAAACACCAUUUUUUAACCCUCUUCAAUACAAAACUCAAUGUUGCUCAUACAAAAAGAAAUAAAUUAUUUCUGCAAAAAUAACCUGCAAAAUAAUUAAAAUGUAGAAGAUAAAUUAAAAAUGGGCUCCAACCUUGGUAUUUAUUCAAUUUACACCAAUAAAAAGUCAUGUUUUUAGUCACAUUAGUCUUUUAGAAAGGAUUGCCCAACGCUAUUAAUUAUUAUGGAGGAAAUCAAGUAAUGCAGUAUAAUAAUAUUAAUCACAUGUUAGACUGAGCGCACUGAGAAUAUUUAGUAGUCAUCGCUUCAGUUUCCACGUGUAAACAAUCCAGUGAUUAAGAGCUGCCUCUGGCCUAUUUGACCACACAAAGACACUCUCCCCUCUGUUCCUAAACGAGGAUUUCUUUGAAUCCAGACUUUAAAGGAGCCCCCGUCCUUCAUUAUUCAUGUUAAUUUAUGCAACAGAAAACCCAACUAAUAAAAUUUUGGAAUACAUAAGUGUGUCUUGGUCCGAAGUAAUGAGAUAUGCCAAUAAUAAUAUGUAAAUUUGGUGAAUUAUUGAAUAGGCAUGACUGAAGAUUUCUUAUUAGUUUGCAUGUUUAUCUCCAAAAAUCCAUCAAUUUUUCAGGGUGCUUCUGCUGCCCUGGCCGAUAGGUAAAUGUAAUCAAACACUGAAAUCAAUAAUUCAAGUGUUUAUGUGCUGCUGUGUGUGUAUAUCACUCCCUCUGUCUCUGUACAACAGGAGGUUUAGUUUGGUCUGGUCUUUGUUUGUAGGAUUCAGAGACCAAACUUUGAGCAGUUUUUGUUGACUUAUCACAGAAUUAACCUUUGAGUGAUCUGAAAACAAAGAAAAACCCACAGAGCUGUCUGAAGUUGAUGUUAGGAAAUAGAUCAAACAGAUAAAUUAACAAGUAAGUUAAUUGAAUCUUUAUUUUAAUCACCUCUAAGAUGACAAAAGUAUUUUAUUAUUGAGAACAAAUGUCCAAGGUUAACACUGAAAUCAAGUAUCUUUUUGUUAGGCGAUCCCCAAUAACCUUUUAACAUGAACUGAUGUUAACUUUUUAUUUGUUAAUUUUUAUGUGAUUUUAUUUUAUCCAAUUCCAAGUUACUAACUUAGUUUUAACCCCUCCUCUAAUUUUACAUUUGUAACUAUUUUUACAAAGUUUCAGCAAGACAACUUAUCAGUUUUUUGUGCUUUUGUUUUGUAAUGACCACACGCUACUUUUACUUGUCUAUGCUAGCUAGCUUAUAAAGAGAAAUACAUAUGAGACCAUUACAUCUUUUCCUCUGGUGAUGAACAACAAAAUGCAUUUCUAUAUCUUACAGAUAUGGACAAAAAUAUAGUUAAAUAACUGAUAACUAAUAAUAAUAAUAAUGUGAUAAUUACAAUAUUCCUGAUCCACUUUUAAAGAAUGUAUUUAUCUUCAAUACUGCCAUUAAGUCUAUAAAAAGUGUCUGCUCUAAGACGGGGGUGUAACCUGCACUUACUGUUGUUGUUUCAAAGUUUAAAGCUCCUGUGAAGGUUUUUUAUUGUUAAUGAAACAGGCUGCAAUUCAGAUCCAUGCCUUUUUAUGUUAUACAAAAGCAAACAAGACCAUCAGCGACAUGAUUGACGAUUCUUACACUGCAAUUUUUAAUGUCUGAAACCAAAGGGAGGGGGUAGGUGUCAGCUGAGCAGCUGGAGAAACAGCCCUGGUUUUACAAUGUUUAUAUAAACUAUUCAGGUCAACAUAAGGAGAUUUUUUUGCCAGGAGACACUAGCUCAUAAAGGGCCAGAUAAGCAAAGACUAUUUUGUCCACAGGGGGGCACCAAAAUUGGCAUAAACCAAAAGUUCCCCACUUGAACUUUAAGUUUGUCCUGACUUUCAGAACAGCUGGGAAGUCCAAAAAGAUCAUACUGAUAUCCUCCACACUGUCAUCAGAGAGUAAUGGGUGCAUUUUAACACACAUAUGUUGCAAGGGGACACUGUCACUGCAUUUUAAGCUGCUGUAGAAAACUUUUGGCUUGUUUUGAUUUUGGCGCCCCCUGUGGACGAACAUAUUUAAUCAUCUUGCUGUUUUUGUGCUGUACAUGCUGGAGUAGAAUUUGCUGACAAAAAAACUCCCCUUGACUGUUUUGUAACUGUCAAAUAUAUAAUUCUGUGAAUAUUUGCAGUCAAAAUGCUGCUCCUGGACUUGACUGACACCUACUCUCUGCAGUGGUUUCAGGCAUUAAAAUUACAACACAAAAACGCAACUUUGCUGAUGGUCUGGUUUAGUUUCGUUGACCAUAAAAAAGGCAUCAGUAUCAAGUUUAGUUUGUGGGAACGUAGGAGCGGGCUGACUUAACAUCACUGUGGGUGGGAGUCAAUGAAAUUCCUGCUGCUCCCACAUGUAGCCACAACGAUCAACUAGAGAAUCAACUAACAAUGUAGAAAAUAAGUUUGUAGAUAAGUUUGAACCGAACAGGUCAGAAGACGGGAUUAGGGGGACAGUGGAUAACACACCUUGAUCUGGUGGUUAUGUUGAAAACAUUCCUCUGCAGAUCUCUUAUCUGUCAAACAACCAGUUUAAAACUUCUCACAGGGGCUUAUACUUGUCUGGCUUGUUAACUUUUGCUCAUUUCCUGGAUUUGUGUGAAUAUUUAAAACAGUCUUCCGCUUAUGAACUUUUGUAAACCUCAGGAGAAGAGAGCGAUGAAAUGUGGGGGGAAAAAAAGUGUCAAUAUAUAAAAGACGUAACAACAUGUUCAGGCAUGGUGAAAACUACAUUUAGAUCAAAAGGAAUGCUGAAAGUUUUUGAAAAUCUUGAAAAGAGAUUUAUGAAGUUUUUAAAACUAAAUGUUGGCUACGAUCAAAAAUACUUAGAGCAGGGCAUGCUAAAGAGGAGCUGUGAGAGAUUUCUUUAUCAUAUCAUCAGGUAGCACCUUUUCUUUAAUCUCUUUCUCAACCUGCUUUUUCAUUUAAUAAAAUAACGUAGAAGUUAGGAGACUAUACAGUAUUUUCUUAUAUUUUGUUAAAUUGAAAACCACAAUGUAACACAAUAAAAAAUGAUAUAUAUAUUCAGCCUAUUUUCUCCGCUAAAAAGAUACCAAAUAGUAUAUUUUUCUUCUUCUCCUGCUCCCACUACUUCUUCUUCUUCUUCUCCAUUCCCCUGCCUCAUUUGCAAUGAUUGUGUUAUCAGGGCAGCCAGGCAAAAGGGUGGAGCAACCAUAAUUUCAGCGCGGGAUUAGGCAGAAAUAACGAGGUCACCAAGUUACAGUUGCCAUGGCAACGACACAUCCAAGAACACAGGAUGCCAUUGCUUUAAAAAAAAAAAUAGAAGAAACAGGGCCCAGGAUUUUUUUUCCUCUCUCUCUCUUUCUCUCUCCGCGUUUUUUUUUCAUACCCCUCCCUCUCCAUCUUUCUCUCCCAUCCUCUCCUGCUCCCUGUCUACGCUUUUUUUUUUUUUUAGGCGAGCGAGGAGCGGAGGGGAGCAGUUCACUUUCACUCCCUCUCUCUGUUUUUUUUUUUUUUCUUUUUCCAGAGCCUUUUGUUUCUGAACAUAUUCAGAAUAAUAAAUUCACUGUUGAGUACAUUUGCAUCUUUCUGGUAUUCAUAUUUGGUGGGAGGUCUGUUUCCUCUUAUUCUAACGUGGCUGCACCCGCUCUAUAAAGCUCAUUAGAAAACACCCCUCUUCACCCCCUCCCACAAAUCCCUCCCUCACCUCCCACAGUCCUUAAGAAAAACUCCAAGUUCUCCUCUGUUUUUUUCAGCUUAUUUUUUUGUUUUGGGGGAAAACUGUGUGAGGCGAUCGAAGUCAGGAAAAGUUAAAAAUAAGAAAGCAUGGCUCCUGUUUUUGAGGGGAAACAAUUUAUGUGGUGCCCCUGGCCCGGGCAUCGAUUCGGAUUGAAGUUACCAGAAGCUGCAGGCGUCUAUUCAAACACAGAUCUGUUCCCAAGUUGCACCUGGCUGCUGGUAAGACCAGAGCCCAGGAAACUGAUUCAACUCUAUGCAAAGUCCAAUAAUCAGCAGGCCUGGAGACGAAGCACCCACCGGUCCAGCACUGUUGUUCUGGAGCAGUAUUGAUCGACUUUGGGAUGAUGCCGAUUACACAGAGAAAGCUUGAAAAAAGCGGUAUUAGGGCUGUGCAUGAAACAGGGACUGUGAAUGAGGUUAAUACAGGGAUAAAUGAAGAAAUUAAAUUUAGAGUCUAGUUUCCUGUAGAUGGUUAAAAACUCAAAAACAUGAUGGUGAGUUUCAAUGGAGUUUAUAAUUCUAGCAAAAGAGGACCUCCUUGUACCAAAUUUGUAGGUAAUUUCUACAUCUGAGCAUGUUAUUAGUUACAUCUCAUCUGAUAUCUGAUUGGUGAAAUUCCAUAAAAGUGAUGAUCAAUUCUCAACAUCAAAAUCUGAUCACACAUUUCAUUCAAACUCAAUCUGUGUCAAGGAGUCCGUCUGCCUGUUGAGACUGUGUCAAAAAAGUUAGUUCCCAUCUCAGGCUGGUUUUGAAAGGUGGGAGGUAAUGGCUGUUUAUGGAUACAGAUGUGGGUGCCAUCUCGGAAUUGAAAGUGGAGCAAAACCCUGUCCUGCAAUCCAUGCAGAGCUGGCGGGCGUGUGUCUAAGUUGCCUAAGUAGUUAACUGUUAGUAUUGGUGAUAAUAGCACCAAGUUAAAAAAAUUUUAAGGGAAUUUUAACUGCAAAGCUGUGAAGACAAAAAGCGAAUUGAGGACAGAAAUGUCAAUAUAAAUGUGUGUCGAUUUUGGCGCCCCCUGUGGAUGAAGUUAAACCUCUCAGCUACAUGUCAAAGUAUAAUGUUAUUGGUUAGCAAAACAAACCUCACUCUGCUGUCUCAUUUGUUUUUAUAUUAUUUGGGGUAUUUUUCGUGUAUUUACAGGGAGGAUAUGAUGGUGGAUAGAGUGGGAGCUAGAAACCAGAGCAGGGAGUGGCGUGUGUAAAAGGGGCUGAGGGCUGAAACUAUACCCAUGACGCCAACUAACUAGAUACACGCUUAAAAUACUGAGCCUGAGGCACAACAUCCUGCUGUGUUUUUUUUUUUACAGUCAAUCAUAUCACACACCUUUACUUCAGAUAGGGUGAAAAUAGGCUGUUUUUGCAGUGUGCCAUAACUCACUUUAGCACCUACAGGGCAUUAAGUGUAUCAGUUCUUGUUGGUAAUACAGAGGUUUUCAAAUUAAUUGAAGUCUUUUGUGUAUAUAUAAAAGUUUAUUAUAAUUGUUUAAACUUAAGUGGCACAACUAUUGUUAAUACUUAGAUCCUCUGUUGUACCUCAAACUGAUUAUCUUUUUCUGCAGUAUCUACCUUCACAGGACUCCACUACUUAAACAUGACAUUAGGUCUUUGAACCCGACCCUCCUCCUUAAACAGCGAAGGUUUCAGCUCCUCUCUCUAAACUCCGGUGACUCACUCGUUCUGAUGUGCUUCCUGCUGCUCAGAGGAUUAUCAGUCAGAAUAACCAGAGAAACAUGAUGGUUUGUGUACUGAAAAAGGGGGCUAAAUAUAAAUGUGUUGUUAGUAUAAAGCAUUUCAUAUAUAUGUUUUGACUCGUGCUUUUUAUGGCGUUCUGUAGUGUAUUAAAAAUCUGUGAUUUAUACUGCAAAGCAUGUCUGGUUUGAGGGGAAGAACCAAGACGGUAGAAUCAUUAAAAAAUAAUAAUAACAAUGGAUGACAUAUUAAUUAGAAUAUCAUCUUUUCAGCCUCAUCAGAGAAGGUCUGGCAACGAUACAGCCUCUGGAGGAGACGGUCAACUUAUCUAGACUCCUGCAUGGCCAGCAGAGACUUUCAGCCAGGACUUAUUGAUGACAGUCCAACCAGCGAAUGGAGAAACCAGACCAGAGUCGAGAAAAGGCGUCCAAAAGCAGGUUUGUGAAUGCUUUGUCAUGAUUACGUUUGUUUAAAGUUAUGAAUCAAAGCUGGAUCAGCGCCUGCAUGUUACAGAUUGUGUACUUCUCCUUUUGCAGACUGACAAAAAAUAAGCACAAGAGAGCACCACAUCCAGUCAGAAGUCUUCAGGUUUUGCAUUCUUGUGCAGCAUUUGUGAUUAUUUUUUUUUUUAUUAAAUAUUGAAGCAGUUUAUAUUUAUCCCUUAAAAGAGGGUCAAGAAAGGUCUCCAAGAGCUCAAACAGGUACCACAACAGAUCCUUAAACCUUUUCUCAUCAUGGCUGCAAAACAAAAAAUGAAAAAGAGCCCUCCCUGAAAUCCUUAAAUCAUCUUCAAAACUGAUCGAAUUCACAAGAAAUAACCUCUUGCAUACAAAUUAAACCUUCUCUGAGCUGCUGUGCGAGUGUUAUAAAAGAGCAGGGAGGGCAGCAGGACCACCACGGACCACCACGGCUGCUCCUCGCCUUCAAACACUCCGGCAAUCUGCCUCUUAAAACACUUUAUUUAUUCAGCUCCGGAGCCAUACUCUAAAGUUUUCUAACCUCUCAAAUCUAUUUCUUUUUUUUUCUCCAGUGAUUCAGAUUUGAUCCUUGAGACUAAAUGUAGAGAGCAGCUUUAAAGACAUGCUUGAGUUUAAUUUGAAUUAGGACCAUUGCAGCGUGGUUUUCUGUUUUAUACGAACAGCAGAGGAACAUUCAUUGUGUUUGGUUUCUGGAAUAUUCUCUCUGCCUCACAUCAGGUAGCAGAGAGAGAGAUGGGCUCUGUGUGCGUGUGUGUGUGUUUGUGAGUGCGUUUAUGUAUGUGUGGUUUGUAUGCAUGUGUAUUUGUGUGUAUGUGUGUCCAAGAGCAAGUGUGUGCGUAUUUGUGUGUGUCUGUGUGUGCGUGUGUGUGUGUGUGUGCAGGCGCAUGUGUGCGAGGCUGCUGCCAUGCCUACGAGAUGGGGGAUGGUAGCAGCACAGCCAGCUAUUUUUCUUUCUUUCUCUCCUGAACAUCAAGUUUGGUCUCCCAUCAGCCUCGUCCUCCACAGAAAACGGCUGCUGGUUAAAGAUGUGAUGCAAACAUCUACGAUAAACCAGCGCACUAGACGCAGGACUAUUGAUUAACUCGGUAUGCUACAGACUUGUAUUGAUCCAUUUUACUAUAGAAAAUAUCGAUUAAUCAAAAUAAGGAGGAUAAAAUGAUCUGUUCAGCCAAGCAAGACAGAUAAGGAAGGUUAUUACCAAACUAAUACACCCAUGAAUCCUAUCUAACUUAGAUGUAAAGAACGCAGAUGUUCCUCGACUAAAAUAAACUAAAUGCUGAUAUUUUUUUUUAAAUUGAAGAACACACUAAGAAAUGUCCCAGUCUUUAAUAACACAAUGCAGAUUUUAAUUGGCAAAAAUUUAAGGACACUAAUUGCCUGUUGGCCUCUUGCAGAUUCCAGUUGUAAAAACGUCGCCCUCUUUACCUGUGCCAGUUGUCUUCUUCAACUACUUCCUUUGAAACAAAGUCAAACAGGUAAAUACACCUCGUAAGUUUAACUUUAAAGGUUUGAUAUGUUUAAAUAACCCAAUAGGCAUUUUUUUUUUUCAUGAAAAAAGUUUGGUUACACUUUACUUGACGCCAAUCUUAUUAACGCAUUAUAAAUAUAUUCAUAAUGCGUUAUAAUCACGUUAUAGCACUUUAAAACUAUAAACACUCAUAAAUGAUCAUAAUGCUUUAUAGCAAUAAUCGUAACACAUUAUAAAGCAUUUUAUCAUGACUUACAAGGUCAGGUAUUAUAAUGUGUUAUAACUGUUAACAACUUACUAACAAUGAUUACAUAGAUAAUACAAUGUAACUGUUGGUAACAGUUAUAACACAUUAUACAGUGCUUUAACAUGAUUAUAACCCAUUAUAAAUAUAUUCAUAAUGCGUGACAGAGAUAGGCGUGAAGUAAAGUGUUACCAAAAGUUCCACUGAAAUAAAAUUAUUAGCUGUUUAUAACCUGCUGUAGUUACCAUUAGAGCAAUGUGUUGCAAAAAGCUUGACAAGAUCUGCAGCCUCAUAGUUUCUAACCUCAUUGCACAGUGAUCUGAGUGAGCUGGGAUGGGAUAAGAGUAAGGUGAUGAGCUGAUUGGCUGCUUGAUUGUUGUCUAAAGGUAAAAGGAUGCAGACAGAUGCAGAGGUGGAAAAACACCAGAACAAAUUUGCCGAGCCCUCCAGAAGAAUCCAUGCCAGUUCACCACGGAAUCUGACCCCCGGACAAGAG